AGAGUUUGAUCCUGGCUCAGGAUGAACGCUAGCGGCAGGCUUAAUACAUGCAAGUCGAGGGGCAGCAGGGGUAGCAAUACCCGCUGGCGACCGGCAAACGGGUGCGGAACACGUACGCAAUCUACCCAAAACUGAUGAAUAGCCCUCCGAAAGGAGGAUUAAUACAUCGUAACAUUAUAGAGUGGCAUCACUUUAUGAUUAUAGCUCCGGCGGUUUUGGAUGAGCGUGCGGCUGAUUAGGUAGUUGGCAGGGUAACGGCCUACCAAGCCUACGAUCAGUAACUGGUGUGAGAGCACGACCAGUCACACGGGCACUGAGACACGGGCCCGACUCCUACGGGAGGCAGCAGUAAGGAAUAUUGGUCAAUGGACGCAAGUCUGAACCAGCCAUGCCGCGUGAAGGAUGAAGGUCCUCUGGAUUGUAAACUUCUUUUAUAGGGGAAGAAACCGGGAAAUUCUUUUUCCGUUGACGGUACCCUGGGAAUAAGCACCGGCUAACUCCGUGCCAGCAGCCGCGGUAAUACGGAGGGUGCAAGCGUUAUCCGGAUUCACUGGGUUUAAAGGGUGCGUAGGUGGGUCUGUAAGUCAGUGGUGAAAUCUCCAAGCUUAACUUGGAAACUGCCGUUGAUACUAUAGGUCUUGAAUGCUGUGGAGGUGAGCGGAAUAUGUCAUGUAGCGGUGAAAUGCUUAGAUAUGACAUAGAACACCAAUUGCGAAGGCAGCUCACUACCCAGAUAUUGACACUGAGGCACGAAAGCGUGGGGAUCAAACAGGAUUAGAUACCCUAGUAGUCC
rnacentral:rRNA from 1 species